AGAGUUUGAUCCUGGCUCAGGACGAACGCUGGCGGCGUGCUUAACACAUGCAAGUCGAACGAGACGAAUUAGAAGCUUGCUUUUGACGAGUCGAGUGGCAAACGGGUGAGUAACGCGUAGACAACCUGCCGCAAAGAUGGGGACAACAGUCCGAAAGGACUGCUAAUACCGAAUGCUGUAUCUCCUCCGCAUGGAAGAGAUAUUAAAGAUGGCCUCUACUUGUAAGCUAUCGCUUUGCGAUGGGUCUGCGUCUGAUUAGCUAGUUGGUGGGGCAACGGCCUACCAAGGCGACGAUCAGUAGCCGGUCUGAGAGGAUGAACGGCCACAUUGGAACUGAGACACGGUCCAGACUCCUACGGGAGGCAGCAGUGGGGAAUCUUCCGCAAUGGGCGAAAGCCUGACGGAGCAACGCCGCGUGAGUGAAGAAGGUCUUCGGAUCGUAAAGCUCUGUUGUCGGGGACGAAUGUUGAGGCUUAGAACAUAGGUUUCAAAUGACGGUACCUGACGAGGAAGCCACGGCUAACUACGUGCCAGCAGCCGCGGUAAUACGUNNNGGCGAGCGUUGUCCGGAAUUAUUGGGCGUAAAGGGAGCGCNGCGGGAAGUAAGUCUAUNNNAAAAGUGNNGGGGCUCANCCCGNGGAGGGGAUAGAAACUNNCAUUNNUG
rnacentral:rRNA from 1 species